rnacentral:lncRNA from 1 species
CUCUCAUCAGGGUGCCCCUGGAGCCCUUGCUGGAGACCUGGUGGGAGAGCCGGUGAGUGUGGAACCCCCAGCACACAGGUCACCCACCCCGUGACCCUCACGUUCCAUGAUACGCCCCACCCGGCCUGGCCUCCUGCUCCUUCUUUGAGUCUCUGCUGUCUGGGACCCUGACACCCAUGUGUCCUCCUGACCCUUGUAUCCGCAGGGAGCCAAGGGUGACCGAGGACUGCCAGGGCCGCGGGGCGAGAAGGUGAGGUGGGCCUGGCCCCAGGGUCUGAGCAUUGGGCAGGGAGGGGUACGGUUGGGUGGCCACACACCCUCACCCUCACCCCACUGUCUAUGCAGGGUGAAGCUGGCCGUGCGGGGGAGCCUGGAGACCCUGGCGAAGAUGGUCAGAAGGGGGCUCCGGGACCCAAAGGUCACAAGGGUGACCCAGGAGUUGGGGUCCAGGGGCCCCCUGGGCCAGUUGGCCCUCCAGGUCUAAAGGUAAAACUGUACCCUGUGCCUAGUGGUGGGGGCAGAAGGUGGGGUGGGGGGCCUGGAGGUGGGAGGAAGAGGGUCUUCAGGGGCUAG